GACGAACGCUGGCGGCGCGCUUAACACAUGCAAGUCGAGCGAUAACCAUGGCUUCGGCCAUGGGGACAGCGGCGAACGGGUGAGUAACACGUGGGCAAUCUGCCCUCGGCACUGGGAUAGCCCGGGGAAACCCGGAUUAAUACCGGAUAGCCUCUCGAGCUCUCGGGCUCGUGAGAAAAGAUAGCUUCGGCUUUCGGCUGAGGAGGAGCCUGCGGCGGAUUAGCUUGUUGGCGGGGUAACGGCCCACCAAGGCGACGAUCCGUAGCUGGUCUGAGAGGACGAUCAGCCACACUGGGACUGAGACACGGCCCAGACUCCUACGGGAGGCAGCAGGUGGGGAAUCUUGCGCAAUGGGCGAAAGCCUGACGCAGCG
rnacentral:rRNA from 1 species